UACGUAGGGUGCGAGCGUUGUCCGGAAUUAUUGGGCGUAAAGGGCUCGUAGGCGGUUUGUCGCGUCGGGAGUGAAAUCCACUGGCUUAACUGGUGGCUUGCUUUCGAUACGGGCAGACUGGAGGUAUGCAGGGGAGACUGGAAUUCCUGGUGUAGCGGUGAAAUGCGCAGAUAUCAGGAGGAACACCGGUGGCGAAGGCGGGUCUCUGGGCAAUAACUGACGCUGAGGAGCGAAAGCGUGGGGAGCGAACAGG
rnacentral:rRNA from 1 species